rnacentral:rRNA from 1 species
UGGGGAAUAAUGCACAAUGGGCGCAAGCCUGAUGCAGCCAUGCCGCGUGUAUGAAGAAGGCCUUCGGGUUGUAAAGUACUUUCAGUCGGGAGGAAGGUGGUAAGGUUAAUAACCUUAUCAAUUGACGUUACCGACAGAAGAAGCACCGGCUAACUCCGUGCCAGCAGCCGCGGUAAUACGGAGGGUGCAAGCGUUAAUCGGAAUUACUGGGCGUAAAGCGCACGCAGGCGGUUGAUUGAGUCAGAUGUGAAAUCCCCGGGCUUAACCCGGGAAUUGCAUCUGAUACUGGUCAGCUAGAGUCUUGUAGAGGGGGGUAGAAUUCCAUGUGUAGCGGUGAAAUGCGUAGAGAUGUGGAGGAAUACCGGUGGCGAAGGCGGCCCCCUGGACAAAGACUGACGCUCAGGUGCGAAAGCGUGGGGAGCAAACAGG